GACGAACGCUGGCGGCGUGCUUAACACAUGCAAGUCGAACGGAAAGGCCCUGCUUUUGUGGGGUGCUCGAGUGGCGAACGGGUGAGUAACACGUGAGUAACCUGCCCUUGACUUUGGGAUAACUUCAGGAAACUGGGGCUAAUACCGGAUAGGAGCUCCUGCUGCAUGGUGGGGGUUGGAAAGUUGCGGCGGUUGUGGAUGGACUCGCGGCUUAUCAGCUUGUUGGUGGGGUAGUGGCAUACCAAGGCUUUGACGGGUAGCCGGCCUGGGAGUGGGACCGGGCACAUUGGGACUGAGAUAGGGACCAGAGUCCUACGGGAGGCAGCAGGGGGAAAUAUUGCACAAUGGGCCGAAGCCGGAUGCAGCAACGCCGCGUGCGGGAUGACGGCCUUCGGGUUGUAAACCGCUUUCGCCUGUGACGAAGCGUGAGUGACGGUAAUGGGUAAAGAAGCACCGGCUAACUACGUG
rnacentral:rRNA from 1 species